rnacentral:rRNA from 1 species
ACAUCCACGGAAUUUAGCAGAGAUGCUUUAGUGGCCUUCGGGAACCGUGAGACAGGUGCUGCAUGGCUGUCGUCAGCUCGUGUUGUGAAAUGUUGGGUUAAGUCCCGCAACGAGCGCAAACCCUUAUCCUUUGUUGCCAGCGGGUUAUGCCGGGAACUCAAAGGAGACUGCCAGUGAUAAACUGGAGGAAGGUGGGGAUGACGUCAAGUCAUCAUGGCCCUUACGAGUAGGGCUACACACGUGCUACAAUGGCGCAUACAAAGAGAAGCGACCUCGCGAGAGCAAGCGGACCUCGUAAAGUGCGUCGUAGUCCGGAUUGGAGUCUGCAACUCGACUCCAUGAAGUCGGAAUCGCUAGUAAUCGUAGAUCAGAAUGCUACGGUGAAUACGUUCCCGGGCCUUGUACACACCGCCCGUCACACCAUGGGAGUGGGUUGCAAAAGAAGUAGGUAGCUUAACCUUCGGGAGGGCGCUUACCACUUUGUGAUUCAUGACUGGGGUGAAGUCGUAACAAGGUAAGCGUAGUGCU